AGAAUCAACGCUGGCGGCGUGCCUAACACAUGCAAGUCGAACGAGAAAGUGGAGCAAUCCAUGAGUAAAGUGGCGACCGGGUGAGUAACACGUGACUAACCUACCCUAGAGUGGGGAAUAACCUCGGGAAACCGGGGCUAAUACCGCAUAACAUCGCAGAGGGAAGCUCUUUGCGAUCAAAGGAGCAAUUCGCUCAAGGAGGGGGUCGCGGCUGAUUAGUUAGUUGGUGAGGUAAUGGCUCACCAAGACUUAGAUCAGUAUCCGGCCUGAGAGGGCGCACGGACACACUGGAACUGAAACACGGUCCAGACUCCUACGGAGGCAGCAGUGGGGAAUUUUGCGCAAUGGGGGAAACCCUGACGCAGCAACGCCGCGUGGAGGAUGAAGUCCCUUGGGAUGUAAACUCCUUUCGAUCGGGACGAUUAUGACGGUACCGGAAGAAGAAGCACCGGCUAACUCUGCGCCAGCAGCCGCGGUAA
rnacentral:rRNA from 1 species